rnacentral:rRNA from 1 species
UACGUAGGGUGCGAGCGUUGCCCGGAUUUAUUGGGCGUAAAGGGCGCGUAGGCGGCCACGCACGUCCGUUGUGAAAUCGCCCGGCUCAACUGGGCGGGGUCAGCGGAUACGGUGUGGCUCGAGCAAGCUAGGGGGCAAUGGAAUUCCCGGUGUAGUGGUGGAAUGCGUAGAUAUCAGGAGGAACACCGAUGGCGAAGGCAGAUCUCUGGGCCGUAACUGACGCUGAGGAGCGAAAGCGUGGGGAGCGAACAGG